rnacentral:miRNA from 1 species
UAUUAGGUUGGUGCAAAAGAAAUCACAGUUUUUGCCAUUACUUUCUAUGGUAAAAACUGUAAUUACUUUUGCACCAACCUAAUA